rnacentral:lncRNA from 1 species
AGACAAACUGCAGGAGAGAAGUGGUCAGGGCAGCAGAAGGAAGAAUGAGGGUGACACUUUCUCAGAAAAACUGAUCAGGCCAGAAGAAUGGUAACCUUGUGACAGCUUGCAUCUGUCACUUAGCUCGUCUAUCAGAACUCUUCCAACAGUGAUACUCAGCUGAUGUCCCAAGAUGAAUUUGGUCUAGGAGACCUUUUGAGUUUCAGUGAAGCCUCUCUGCCCUUACUCUGGAUUUUCCUAUGGAAUGGAUUCACUUUUUAAAAAAAAUAUCAGUAAUAUAUACCUUUUGUAGAAAAGCUGGAAGGUGGAGACAAAUCAAAAGAAAAUUAG